rnacentral:rRNA from 1 species
ACGAACGCUGGCGGCGUGCCUAACACAUGCAAGUCGAACGAAGCUUGACGAACGAUUCUUCGGAUGAAUUCUGAUAUGACUGAGUGGCGAACGGGUGAGUAACGCGUGAGGAACCUGCCUCAAAGAGGGGGGACAACAGUUGGAAACGACUGCUAAUACCGCAUAAGCCCACGGCUCGGCAUCGAGCAGAGGGAGAAGGAGCAAUCCGCUUUGAGAUGGCCUCGCGUCCGAUUAGCUAGUUGGUGAGGUAACGGCCCACCAAGGCGACGAUCGGUAGCCGGACUGAGAGGUUGAACGGCCACAUUGGGACUGAGACACGGCCCAGACUCCUACGGGAGGCAGCAGUGGGAAUAUUGCACAAUGGGGGGAACCCUGAUGCAGCGACGCCGCGUGGAGGAAGAAGGUCUUCGGAUUGUAAACUCCUGUUGUUGAGGAAGAUAAUGACGGUACUCAACAAGGAAGUGACGGCUAACUACGUG